rnacentral:rRNA from 1 species
ACAUGGAGAAUGUAAAAAAACUAACAAGGUCUCCGUUGGUGAACCAGCGGAGGGAUCAUU